GGCCAGACUCCUACGGGAGGCAGCAGUGGGGAAUAUUGCACAAUGGGGGAAACCCUGAUGCAGCGACGCCGCGUGAGCGAUGAAGUUUUUCGGUAUGUAAAGCUCUCUCAGCAGGGAAGAAAAUGACGGUACCUGACUAAGAAGCCCCGGCUAACUACGUGCCAGCAGCCGCGGUAAUACGUAGGGGGCAAGCGUUAUCCGGAUUUACUGGGUGUAAAGGGAGCGUAGGCGGCAGCGCAAGUCUGAAGUGAAAUGCCGGGGCUGAACCCCGGAACUGCUUUGGAAACUGGGCAGCUAGAGGGCAGGGGAGGGAAGGGGAAAUCCUAGGGGAGGGGGGAAA
rnacentral:rRNA from 1 species